GACGAACCGUACGAACGUUAUUCGGAAUCACUGGGCUUAAAGGGCGCGUAGGCGGCGCAGUAAGUUGGGUGUGAAAUCCCCUCGGCUUAACCGAGGAAUUGCGCCCAAAACUACUGUGCUCGAGGGAGGUAGAGGUGAGCGGAACUUAGGGUGGAGCGGUGAAAUGCGUUGAUAUCCUAAGGAACACCGGUGGCGAAAGCGGCUCACUGGACCUCUUCUGACGCUGAGGCACGAAAGCUAGGGGUAGCAAACGGG
rnacentral:rRNA from 1 species